UACGUAGGUGGCAAGCGUUGUCCGGAAUUAUUGGGCGUAAAGCGCGCGCAGGCGGUCCUUUAAGUCUGAUGUGAAAGCCCACGGCUCAACCGUGGAGGGUCAUUGGAAACUGGGGGACUUGAGUCCGGAAGAGGAGAGUGGAAUUCCUGGUGUAGCGGUGAAAUGCGCAGAUAUCAGGAAGAACACCCGUGGCUAAGGCGGCUCUCUAGUACGGUACUGACGCUGAGACGCGAAAGCGUGGGGAGCGAACAGG
rnacentral:rRNA from 1 species